ACCAUAAUAGAGGUCCUCGAAACCCUAGCCCCUAGCCGCAAAGAAAGAAAAAAACUUAGAGAGAGAAAGUUUGGGAGUGAGCAAGAAAAUCGCUGCCGAAAAUCUCAUCGACCACCACUACAAGUAGCCGCCAGCCACGAUCUAAUUGACAGGGACUUCUUCUUGGAAGGAAGAAGAAGAUGUUGGCGUUCGGAGUCCCAUUUUCUGUCAAGAGAUCGAGAAAAUUAGUAAAAGGGAAUUCUCCACAAGAUUUAGGAAGGAAACUAGCCGGAAUUCUAGUCCAAAGGUGAAGAUCCGAGCCAAUUUCCAAGAACGGAGGAGAGAGAAAAUAGCUUUCAAGAUCCGAGCCGAUUUCCAAGAACGGUGAAGAUCCGAGCCAAUUUCAAGAUCAAAGAUGAAGACGUGUCAGCUUUCAGAACAAGAUGUAGGAAUCGGGUCAAAUUGUGAGCCGAAUGAGUCGAGGAGCCACUGAGCUGCAGUCGGAGUCGAGCCGAUGAAGUCGCGUGAGCCGAAGGAGUUGGUGUUUGCAUUCACGACAUGUGUCGUUGGGGGGGGGAAGGUAACAUGCACGUGGCUCGCGAGUCGGGUUGAGGUGCGGACUUUGGGUCGGUUUCACGACGCUGUGUGUCGCGUGUUGAGUGUGGGUUUGAUGUGUUCUGCGUGAUUGGGCUUGAACGUGGGCUUUGGGUCAAGUAGGAUUUGGGUUGCUGGACUGGACUGAGUUUUGGGUUGCAGGUGGGUAUCCAACCUGAAUCCAAAUCCCCGGAUCUCGUCUUCUUCUCUCGACUGCACGUAAAAUCUUUGAUUCUCGUUACCUUCUUCUUGUCUUUCCUCCCACUCCCACAGCGUCAUAAAGCCUUGGGUGUACCUACAAUUUUAGAUCCAUGUUUCAUUUCAGAUUCCCAAAAACAACCGAUGCUCGUCGGUGGUUCGCUCCUAUACGAUAUCCUUACGUUGGUCCCUUCUUUUGUACCUCCUCCUCCAACUGACAGAAAUAUCUUAAGAUCAUAAAGGGGAAGUUGAGGAAGGUUUUAAAAAGAGAGGUGAAGUGGUCGAGUCGUGUGUAGAGAUUCAGUUUGCCCUUGCCGGUUCGUGUUGGUCGGAAAGACACAAACAAUCGUUCAUCUUCCUCUUCGUCCUCUCUGCAUUCUGCUAUUGAUGGCAGAAGAGUUUGGUUGUAUGGAGCGUUUAUGGAUAAUUUUGGUUUAAUUUUAGGCCAAUAUUAGGUUUUCAAUUUAUUGAAGGUUAAAAUGGGAU